CAGCAGCCACGGGAAUACGAAGGGGGCUAGCGUUGCUCGGAAUCACUGGGCGUAAAGGGUGCGUAGGCGGAUUCUUAAGUCAGGGGUGAAAUCCCGAGGCUCAACCUCGGAACUGCCUUUGAUACUGGGAAACUUGAGUGCAGAAGAGGAGAGUGGAAUUCCACGUGUAGCGGUGAAAUGCGUAGAGAUGUGGAGGAACACCAGUGGCGAAGGCGACUCUCUGGUCUGUAACUGACGCUGAGGAGCGAAAGCGUGGGGAGCGAACAGGAUUAGAUACCCGAGUAGUCCCUGUCUCUUAUAC
rnacentral:rRNA from 1 species